rnacentral:rRNA from 1 species
GACAGAGGUCCCGAGCGUUGUUCGGAUUCAUUGGGCGUAAAGGGUGCGUAGGCGGUCUUCUAAGUUUGAUGUGAAAUCCCGGGGCUCAACCCUGGAAUUGCAUUGAAUACUGGAGGACUAGAGUACCGGAGAGGAAACUGGAAUUUACGGUGUAGCAGUGAAAUGCGUAGAGAUCGUAAGGAAGACCAGUGGCGAAGGCGAGUUUCUGGACGGUAACUGACGCUGAGGCACGAAGGCCAGGGGAGCAAACGGG